rnacentral:rRNA from 1 species
GACGUAGGGCGCGAGCGUUGUCCGGAUUUAUUGGGCGUAAAGAGCUCGUAGGCGGCUUGUCGCGUCGUCCGUGAAAACUUGGGGCUCAACCCCAAGCUUGCGGUCGAUACGGGCAGGCUAGAGUUCGGUAGGGAAGACUGGAAUUCCUGGUGUAGCGGUGAAAUGCGCAGAUAUCAGGAGGAACACCGGUGGCGAAGGCGGGUCUCUGGGCCGAUACUGACGCUGAGGAGCGAAAGCGUGGGGAGCGAACAGG